GAACUAAUGGCUAUGGAUAGGCGUCUAGUUAUUCCAACUGGGAUGGAUUGCUUCGUUGGUGUCUGCUACAUCCGCCUGCCGCCCUUCUAUCUGCGUCUCUGAGGUGAUGCCUGAAAAACUUGUGUGCACACCUCUCAGAAGAUUUGUCUCUUCCUUAAGAAGUUGGAACACUUCCCCCAAGGCCAAUGAGACUGACUGCAGUUUCUGCCAUUUCACUCACAUGCAUGCUCUCUUAAGAAUAGUGAGGUGGAAAUUGGACUGAUUUCAACAUCCAUCUAAUAAUAUAGAGAAUGUUACUGCAAGUGAUUUCUUUAACUGUUGCAGAAAUUUAGAGUCAUUCCACAUGAGCAGCAAGUCAUCUACAUAUAUCAUAAAAUAUGCAAUGAUGGAACCCGGCCGAUUUGUAGAUAAGAAUGAAGUGUCUUACUUUGAUUCUAUAAAAAAAAUUUGCAUGAUCAGAGGAAAGAAACCUAUUGAGAAAAACCCAACUAGUGUCACAUUAAAUAGAUAUAAGGCCUGAAAUAAUAUAAAAAUCUAGUAGUACCUUGAUAUUUUGAAGCUUUCUAGACACUAGAGAAUUUUCAAUUUGUUUGUGACUCCUUGGAGGAUGAGUGAAUAGUACGAAUAUCAAAAUCAAUUAUGUUUGGACCAAUCCAGUGGCGAAUCUCAGAAGAUUUGUUUCUUCUUUUAGGAAUUGGAACACUUCCCCCAGAGCAAACAAUACUCCAGUGGUUAUGGUAUUCAAAAGUCAAAGGAAAGGAAUGAUAUUAUUUUUUGAGUUCUUUAACAUGUGCCCUUAGAGCACAAAAGAUCCUUAUUUUAUUUAUAAUAUUUGAGGUUGUU
rnacentral:lncRNA from 1 species